AUAAAAUGGUCACCCAUAUUUCAGUCAUAAAAAUGGAGCAAUUAAAAGUGAGAUUCAAAUGUUUUCUGUAAGUGGGUAUUCUGGGAUUUGCUGAUGGCAUGGAAGUUUAGGGAGCCCUCAGACAACACUCCACAGAGAUUGUGUAAGACAAUAGGAACCUCUGCGUCAACACAAAUGCCUGCAAGGAGAAGCGGAGAGACUCCUGCAAGGGGGAAGUGAGCACUGAGCCUCUGCUCUGGAGGCCAGUGUGGCUGUCCCGGGGGCCAGCCUUCGCCCUUCCUGUCCUCAUGCUAAGAUGUGCCCCAAGAGUCCAUCUCACCACCCUGCUCCCACCGGGAAGCUGGGGUUGCUCCAGGCCAGUUUGAGAUGCACUGCAGCUUUCAAACAGGCAGAGCGCAGGCAGCAUGCAUCUGUGUGUGCAUGUGUGCACAUGUACAGAUGUGCACGUGUGUGCACUUUGUGGGGUGGUGGGCUGGGCUGUUGGCAACCGACAGAGACCAAGUGAGUGGGCCUCUGGUGACAGGUGUCCGGGGUCAGUUGCUAGGGUGUUGCCAUUGCUGGCGUCUGGCAAACAUCCACAUGGUGGUUGGAAUGAGGACAAGGGGACCCAGCCGCCCAUCUGCUUGGCCCUAGGGACUCUGGCAGACCACAUGGCCAGUACUAAAGAGUGGCAGUCCUGAGUGCGACCGGGACAGCCUCACUCAGCCAUCAGAAUUGGCUAAGGUGUCGCGACUUGUUUCAUUAGGAGGUGAGUAGGAGGUGAGGCUGCUAUCAUAGAGGUGUGGAUAAAAUUCUGCUCAGGAGCAGAAGCGACAGAGUGCCCUUGUUCCUCUGCCUACUUACCUCCUCACACUGUUUUACAACAUCAGACUUUGUCUUAGGCACUGACUUCAUUUGGUCUGGCAAAAACUUAAAGCAGCAUAAGCUCAUUUAUUCAGUGCGUUGUCAGGAGCAGCAUCUUCUUCACCUUCCGGAAGGAGGCAACAGUGAGCGUUAGCCCUGAGUCUAGAUGGAGAGUGUUGAAGCCAGGCAAGACCUUGGUGCCGUUCCACAACCCGGUCUACAGAUGUGGGGAAACUGAGGCCCAAAGGAAUAAGGUGACUUGCCCAGGGCUACAAAAUUGGCACACAAACCCAGGGCUCCCAAGAGAUUUCCACCAUAAUUUUUCUAGAGCAGAAUUUUGGAGCCUCAGUGUAUAUCACUUUGAAAAAUCCAAGUGGAAGAUUAUGUACAGAAUCCAAGCUUAUAUUUUGUGCAAAAGUUUUGAGCCAGAAACUAAAGAUACUCCCCAAACUGGUACUUAAUUCAACUUUAGCCUUUAUUAUUUUUUUCACAUCACUUUCAGGGAAACCUUAUCUCCACGAUGCCUUUUGAGAUUCUCCUCCCCGUCCACAGCAGGUGGAUGGUGCCCAGUGCAUGUUUAGCCCGUGAAUGGCGUCACGUGGAACCACAGACAGGAAGGCACACCUGUCUGCACAGGUAUCGCCCUGCAACUAAAUAUUUCAGGGUAGACGUGCGUCUCAUACAGUUGCCAAGCUGGCAUUUCUUCACAGCAGGUGUUAAGUGAAUUGGCAGGAAGGCAGCCAACAUAGUACACUUGUCUAUGUCAGUCUCCAACUGGAUAGAGGAAUAAUUUAUUUUAUUUUUAAAGAUGUAAAACAGAUCCAUGAAAUGUAAAUCAGACGGGCUUGAGACUUAGCCAAAUCCCCACUCCAGAAAAGAGGACAGAGAUGGGAAUGUGGACCACAAGCAACACACCACUGUUAAAUCAUCAGUUACCCCUGGGAGACAGGGUGCUCGAGUGGGAGGCAGGGUGCUUGAGUGGGAGACAGGGUGCUCCCUGGGAGACAGGGUGCUCCAGUGGGAGACAGGGUGCUCCCUGGGAGACAGGGUGCUCCAGUGGGAGACAGGGACAGUAACAUUGUGUACAUGAUACCACUGGGGAAAAGUUCCACAUAAAUACAUUUUCCAUAGAAAUCUCUAAGAACCAGCUCUUCUGCCUAGCUAAUUUGGGUGGGACUCUUUGUAGAAUACAUUUUUCCUGCUGUAGAAGCAAUACUGCAAUAUUAGCAUGGCCAGGCCUAGGUCACCUGCUGUGCAGUGAGGGGCUGGGUUAAGUGCAAUCCGGAGAUGCCCUUCUGACUGUAGUUCCGUUUUGUAAGUGUGAAGCUCCUGUACCACCAAGGAGGCUGGAACGCCUGUGUGCAGCUGGCCCGCUGCCUCCUGCCACCUGCUCGUCAGCCCACAGUCCUUAUUAUGGUCAGGUGCCACCUGCUCGUCAGCCCACAGUCCUUAUUAUGGUCAGGUGCCACCUGCUUGUCAGGCUAGGAUUCAGUUGUCUGAAGACCCUGGGCGCGCCUCUGUGAAGCAAGUCUGUGUUUUCAGUGAGUGGACUGAGUUACCUCUGCAUUUAAUUAGAGACCCCUUUUACUUAAUUUCGAAUUCUUGGCUCUUUUCAUGUUUAUUUUGAUUUUCAUUUUGAGACAGUUGGUUGGUUUGUUUGUUUGUUUUUUGAGACAGAGUCUCGCUCUGUCGCCCAGGCUGGAGUGCAGUGGCACAAUCUCGGCUCACUGCAACCUCUGCCUCCCAGGUUCAAGUGAUUCUCCUGCCUUAGACUCCUGAGUAGCUGGGAUUACAGGCCUGCGCCACCAUGCUUGGCUAAUUUCUGUAUUUUUAGUAGAGACGGGGUUUCACCAUGUUGGUCAGGCUGGUCUUGAACUCCUUACCUCAUGAUCCACCCACCUCGACCUCCCAAAGUACUGGGAUUACAGGUGUGAGCCACC
rnacentral:lncRNA from 10 species